rnacentral:lncRNA from 1 species
AAAGAUGCCUUGACCAACUUUAUGAUAAAUGGGUCAAUUUUGAAGUGAUUGAUCAACAAGUAUUUAUUUAUUGUAGAUAGUAUCUAUUGGGCCAUAUAUUUUGUGUGUCGCGACAGCAAAAAUAAGAAUUUCCCAAUUUAAUGAUUAACGCCGUCAACGUUCACAUUUAUAGCCGUUGAUCGUCCGUCAAUUUCGACAUGCUUAUUGCUACUAGCUGGUUAGUAUCAUCAACUCGUUGCCGUUUUCUUCAAAAAAAAAAAAAAAAAACUCGUUGCCGUUAACGUCGGUGGCUGCAAAAUUCAAAAACAC